GGCGGUGUGGCGCAGUGGUAAUGAGUAGGGCUGGUAACCAAGAGGUUGCUGGUUCGAUUCUCCUCUGGGGCA